UCCAUUCUGAGGCGUGAUGGGGAAGGCCAUAUAGGCCGAAGUACAUGAUUCCAUGCUUCCAAGAAAAGCAUCUAGAGAGAGAAGUAGUGCCCGUACCGCAAACCGACACAGGUAGAUGAGGAGAGAAUCCUAAGGCCGGCGGAAGAAUUGCAGUUAAGGAACUAGGCAAAUUGACCCCGUAAGUUCGCGAGAAGGGGUGCCUGCGAGAGCAGGCCGUAGAGAAUAGGCCCAAGCAACUGUUUAGCAAAAACACAGGUCUCUGCUAAAGCGUAAGCUGAUGUAUAGGGGCUGACGCCUGCCCGGUGCUGGAAGGUUAAGGGGAACACUUAGCGCAAGCGAAGGUGUGAACUUAAGCCCCAGUAAACGGCGGCCGUAACGAUAACGGUCCUAAGGUAGCGAAAUUCCUUGUCAGGUAAGUUCUGACCCGCACGAAUGGCGUAAUGACUUGGGCACUGUCUCAACUGCAAAUCCGGCGAAGUUGUAGUGCGAGUGAAGAUGCUCGCUACCCGCGAUUGGACGGAAAGACCCCGUAGAGCUUUACUGUAGCUUAGCAUUGAAUUCCGGUAUUGUCUGUACAGGAUAGGUGGGAGACUGGGAAACUAGGGCGUCAGCCUUAGUAGAGUCAACCUUGGGAUACCACCCUGACAGUACUGGGGUUCUAACAGGACGCCAUGAAUCUGGUGACUGGACAUUGUUAGGUGGGCAGUUUGACUGGGGCGGUCGCCUCCUAAAAAGUAACGGAGGCGCCCAAAGGUUCCCUCAGAACGGUCGGAAAUCGUUCGUAGAGUGCAAAGGCAGAAGGGAGCCUGACUGCGAGACAUACAAGUCGAGCAGGGACGAAAGUCGGGCUUAGUGAUCCGGUGGUACCUCGUGGGAGGGCCAUCGCUCAACGGAUAAAAGCUACCUCGGGGAUAACAGGCUGAUCUCCCCCAAGAGUCCACAUCGACGGGGAGGUUUGGCACCGAUGUCGGCUCGUCGCAUCCUGGGGCUGUAGUAGGUCCCAAGGGUUGGGCUGUUCGCCCAUUAAAGCGGCACGCGAGCUGGGUUCAGAACGUCGUGAGACAGUUCGGUCCCUAUCCGUCGCGGGCGUAGGAAAUUUGAGAGGAGCUGUCCUUAGUACGAGAGGACCGGGAUGGACUGACCUCUGGUGCACCAGUUGUUCUGCCAGGAGCAUGGCUGGGUAGCUAAGUCGGGAAGGGAUAAACGCUGAAAGCAUCUAAGCGUGAAGCCUCCCUCAAGAUGAGAUUUCCCAUAGCAUAAGCUAGUAAGACCCCUUGAAGAACACAAGGUUGAUAGGUCAGAGGUGUAAGUGCGGUAACGUAUUUAGCUGACUGAUACUAAUAGGUCGAGGGCUUGACCAA
rnacentral:rRNA from 1 species